rnacentral:tRNA from 1 species
GCGGAUGUGGCGGAAUUGGUAGACGCGCUAGUUUCAGGUACUAGUACUAGCAAUAGUGUGGGAGUUCAAGUCUCCCCAUCCGCAUCA